rnacentral:rRNA from 1 species
ACACGACUACAUUAGAUACCCUGUAGUCCUAGCCGUAAACGAUACUCGCUAGGUGUCGGCCACGGUGCGACCGUUGUCGGUGCCGAAGAGAAAUCGUGAAACGCACCACCUGGGAAGUACGGUCGCAAGGCUGAAACUUAAAGGAAUUGGCGGGGAGCACCACAACAGGUGGAGCCUGCGGUUUAAUUGGAUUCAACGCCGGACAUCUCACCGGAUAAGACAGCUGAAUGAUUGUCAAUCUGAAGGUUUUACAUGACUAGCUG